rnacentral:rRNA from 1 species
GAUGAACGCUAGCUACAGGCUUCACACAUGCAAGUCGAGGGACCGGCGCACGUGUGCGUCACACGUAUCCAACCUGCCCUUUACUCGGGGAUAGCCUUUCGAAAGAAAGAUUAAUACCCUAUGUAAUGGAUGGUGAUGCGUUCCAUUAGUUUGUUGGUGAGGUAACGGCUCCCCAAGCCUUCGAUGGCUAGGGGUUCUGCGAGGAAGGUCCCCUACGUUUGAACGGCGACACAGGCCAAACUCCUACGGGAGGCAGCAGGAAGGAAUAUGGGUCAAUGGGCGUUAGCCUGAACCAGCCAAGUAGCGUGAAGGAUGAAGGCUUAUGGGUCGUAAACUUCUUGUAUAGAAGAAUAGGUAUUAGAUGAAUAAGGAUCGGCUAACUCCGUGCCAGCAGCCGCGGUAAUUC